GAUGAACGCUGGCGGCGUGCCUCAAACAUGCAAGUCGAGCGGGGCUAUGUAAUAUCGCAAGGUAGAACAUAGCCUAGCGGCGAACGGGUGAGUAACACGUGGGUAACCUGCCUGGAAGACAGGGAUAACGAUUCGAAAGGGUCGCUAAUACCUGAUAAUAUCCUUUCAUCGCAUGGUGAUAGGAAGAAAGGGGAAACCCGCUUUCAGAUGGGCCCGCGUCCCAUCAGCUAGUUGGUAAGGUAAAGGCUUACCAAGGCGACGACGGGUAGCCGGUCUGAGAGGAUGUACGGCCACACUGGGACUGAGAUACGGCCCAGACUCCUACGGGAGGCAGCAGUUGGGAAUCUUAGGCAAUGGACGAAAGUCUGACCUAGCGACGCCGCGUGAGGGAAGAAGGCCUCGGUUGUAACGUCUGUCAUGGGGAGGAAGUAAGUAGACGGUACCCGAACGAGGAAGACCCCGCCUAACUACGUGCCACGCAGCCGCGGUAAACGUAACUACUAU
rnacentral:rRNA from 1 species